GAAUGUUAUCACGGGAGACACACGGCGGGUGCUAACGUCCGUCGUGAAGAGGGAAACAACCCAGACCGCCAGCUAAGGUCCCAAAGUCAUGGUUAAGUGGGAAACGAUGUGGGAAGGCACAGACAGCCAGGAUGUUGGCUUAGAAGCAGCCAUCAUUUAAAGAAAGCGUAAUAGCUCACUGGUCGAGUCGGCCUGCGCGGAAGAUGUAACGGGGCUAAACCAUGCACCGAAGCUGCGGCAGCGACACUAUGUGUUGUUGGGUAGGGGAGCGUUCUGUAAGCCGCUGAAGGUGUGCUGUGAGGCACGCUGGAGGUAUCAGAAGUGCGAAUGCUGACAUAAGUAACGAUAAAGCGGGUGAAAAGCCCGCUCGCCGGAAGACCAAGGGUUCCUGUCCAACGUUAAUCGGGGCAGGGUGAGUCGACCCCUAAGGCGAGGCUGAAAAGCGUAGUCGAUGGGAAACAGGUUAAUAUUCCUGUACUUGGUGUUACUGCGAAGGGGGGACGGAGAAGGCUAGGUUAUCCGGGCGACGGUUGUCCCGGUUUAAGCGUGCAGGUGUGAAGACCAGGCAAAUCCGGUCUUCUUUAACACUGAGGCGUGAUGACGAGCCGCUACGGCGGUGAAGUAACUGAUGCCCUGCUUCCAGGAAAAGCCUCUAAGCUCCAGGUAACACGAAAUCGUACCCCAAACCGACACAGGUGGUCAGGUAGAGAAUACCAAGGCGCUUGAGAGAACUCGGGUGAAGGAACUAGGCAAAAUGGUGCCGUAACUUCGGGAGAAGGCACGCUGGCGCGUAGGUGAAGGGACUUGCUCCCGGAGCCGAGGCCAGUCGAAGAUACCAGCUGGCUGCAACUGUUUAUUAAAAACACAGCACUGUGCAAACACGAAAGUGGACGUAUACGGUGUGACGCCUGCCCGGUGCCGGAAGGUUAAUUGAUGGGGUUAUCCGCAAGGAGAAGCUCUUGAUCGAAGCCCCGGUAAACGGCGGCCGUAACUAUAACGGUCCUAAGGUAGCGAAAUUCCUUGUCGGGUAAGUUCCGACCUGCACGAAUGGCGUAAUGAUGGCCAGGCUGUCUCCACCCGAGACUCAGUGAAAUUGAAAUCGCUGUGAAGAUGCAGUGUACCCGCGGCAAGACGGAAAGACCCCGUGAACCUUUACUAUAGCUUGACACUGAACAUUGAGCCUUGAUGUGUAGGAUAGGUGGGAGGCUUUGAAGCGCGGACGCCAGUCUGCGUGGAGCCAACCUUGAAAUACCACCCUUUAAUGUUUGAUGUUCUAACGUAGGCCCGUAAUCCGGGCUGCGGACAGUGUCUGGUGGGUAGUUUGACUGGGGCGGUCUCCUCCCAAAGCGUAACGGAGGAGCACGAAGGUUGGCUAAUCCUGGUCGGACAUCAGGAGGUUAGUGCAAUGGCAUAAGCCAGCUUGACUGCGAGAGUGACGGCUCGAGCAGGUGCGAAAGCAGGUCAUAGUGAUCCGGUGGUUCUGAAUGGAAGGGCCAUCGCUCAACGGAUAAAAGGUACUCCGGGGAUAACAGGCUGAUACCGCCCAAGAGUUCAUAUCGACGGCGGUGUUUGGCACCUCGAUGUCGGCUCAUCACAUCCUGGGGCUGAAGUAGGUCCCAAGGGUACGGCUGUUCGCCGUUUAAAGUGGUACGCGAGCUGGGUUUAGAACGUCGUGAGACAGUUCGGUCCCUAUCUGCCGUGGGCGCUGGAGAAUUGAGGGGGGUUGCUCCUAGUACGAGAGGACCGGAGUGAACGCACCGCUGGUGUUCGGGUUGUCAUGCCAAUGGCACUGCCCGGUAGCUAAGUGCGGAAGAGAUAAGUGCUGAAAGCAUCUAAGCACGAAACUUGCCCCGAGAUGAGUUCUCCCUGACCCUUUAAGGGUCCUGAAGGGACGUUGAAGACGACGACGUUGAUAGGCCGGGUGUGUAAGCGCAGCGAUGCGUUGAGCUAACCGGUACUAAUGACCCGUGAGGCUUAACCUU
rnacentral:rRNA from 1 species